UGCAGUCGAGCGAACAGAUGAGAAGCUUGCUUCUCUGAUGUUAGCGGCGGACGGGUGAGUAACACGUGGGUAACCUACCUAUAAGACUGGGAUAACUCCGGGAAACCGGGGCUAAUACCGGAUAAUAUUUUGAACCGCAUGGUUCAAUAGUGAAAGACGGUUUCGGCUGUCACUUAUAGAUGGACCCGCGCCGUAUUAGCUAGUUGGUAAGGUAAUGGCUUACCAAGGCGACGAUACGUAGCCGACCUGAGAGGGUGAUCGGCCACACUGGAACUGAGACACGGUCCAGACUCCUACGGGAGGCAGCAGUAGGGAAUCUUCCGCAAUGGGCGAAAGCCUGACGGAGCAACGCCGCGUGAGUGAUGAAGGUCUUCGGAUCGUAAAACUCUGUUGUUAGGGAAGAACAAAUUUGUUAGUAACUGAACAAGUCUUGACGGUACCUAACCAGAAAGCCACGGCUAACUACGUGCCAGCAGCCGCGGUAAUACGUAGGUGGCAAGCGUUAUCCGGAAUUAUUGGGCGUAAAGCGCGCGUAGGCGGUUUCUUAAGUCUGAUGUGAAAGCCCACGGCUCAACCGUGGAGGGUCAUUGGAAACUGGGAAACUUGAGUGCAGAAGAGGAGAGUGGAAUUCCAUGUGUAGCGGUGAAAUGCGCAGAGAUAUGGAGGAACACCAGUGGCGAAGGCGGCUCUCUGGUCUGUAACUGACGCUGAUGUGCGAAAGCGUGGGGAUCAAACAGGAUUAGAUACCCUGGUAGUCCACGCCGUAAACGAUGAGUGCUAAGUGUUAGGGGGUUUCCGCCCCUUAGUGCUGCAGCUAACGCAUUAAGCACUCCGCCUGGGGAGUACGACCGCAAGGUUGAAACUCAAAGGAAUUGACGGGGACCCGCACAAGCGGUGGAGCAUGUGGUUUAAUUCGAAGCAACGCGAAGAACCUUACCAAAUCUUGACAUCCUUUGACCGCUCUAGAGAUAGAGUCUUCCCCUUCGGGGGACAAAGUGACAGGUGGUGCAUGGUUGUCGUCAGCUCGUGUCGUGAGAUGUUGGGUUAAGUCCCGCAACGAGCGCAACCCUUAAGCUUAGUUGCCAUCAUUAAGUUGGGCACUCUAGGUUGACUGCCGGUGACAAACCGGAGGAAGGUGGGGAUGACGUCAAAUCAUCAUGCCCCUUAUGAUUUGGGCUACACACGUGCUACAAUGGAUAAUACAAAGGGCAGCGAAUCCGCGAGGCCAAGCAAAUCCCAUAAAAUUAUUCUCAGUUCGGAUUGUAGUCUGCAACUCGACUACAUGAAGCUGGAAUCGCUAGUAAUCGUAGAUCAGCAUGCUACGGUGAAUACGUUCCCGGGUCUUGUACACACCGCCCGUCACACCACGAGAGUUUGUAACACCCGAAGCCGGUGGAGUAACCUUUUAGGAGCUAGCCGUCGAAG
rnacentral:rRNA from 1 species